GAUGAACGCUGGCGGCGUGCCUAACACAUGCAAGUCGAGCGGACAGACGCGGCUUUUGCUCCUCUCACGUUAGCGGCGGACGGGUGAGUCACACGUGUAUAACCUACCUAUAAGACUGGGAUCACUUCGGGAAACCGGAGCUAAUACCGGAUAAUAUAUUGAACCUCAUGGUUCAAUAGUGAAAGACGGUUUUGCUGUCACUUCUCGAUGGAUCCGCGCCGCAUUGGUUAGUUGGUACUGUAACGGCUUACCAAGGCUACGAUGCGUAGCCGACCUGAGAGGGUGAACGGCCACAGUGGGGGUGAGACGCGCUCCGGACUUCGACGAGAGGCAGGAGUAGAGAAGCGUCCGCAAGGGGGGAAAGUGUGACAGUGGAACGACGCGUGAGUGAGGAAGGUCGUGGGAGCGAAAAACUCUUCUGGUUGGGAAGAACAAUUGGGUAAGUAACUAGCGACGUUGAGGCGAUAGAGAAAAAAAGCACCGGGUAACUCCGUG
rnacentral:rRNA from 1 species